rnacentral:rRNA from 1 species
AACGAACGCUGGCGGCAUGCCUAACACAUGCAAGUCGAACGAGACCUUCGGGUCUAGUGGCGCACGGGUGCGAACCGCGUGGGAACCUGCCCUUAGGUUCGGAAUAACUCCCCGAAAGGGGUGCUAAUACCGGAUAAUGUCUUCGGACCAAAGAUUUAUCGCCUUUGGAUGGGCCCGCGUUGGAUUAGCUAGUUGGUAGGGUAAAAGCCUACCAAGGCGACGAUCCAUAGCUGGUCUGAGAGGAUGAUCAGCCACACUGGGACUGAGACACGGCCCAGACUCCUACGGGAGGCAGCAGUGGGGAAUAUUGGACAAUGGGCGAAAGCCUGAUCCAGCAAUGCCGCGUGAGUGAUGAAGGCCUUAGGGUUGUAAAGCUCUUUUACCCGGGAUGAUAAUGACAGUACCGGGAGAAUAAGCUCCGGCUAACUCCGUG